rnacentral:rRNA from 1 species
AUUGAACGCUGGCGGCAGGCCUAACACAUGCAAGUCGAGCGGAGUGGCGGACGGGGGAGUAAUACCUAGGAAUCUGCCUGGUAGUGGGGGAUAACGACCGGAAACGGGCGCUAAUACCGCAUACUAUCAGAUGAGCCUAUGUGGGAUUAGGGAGUUGGUGGGGGAAAGGCUCACCAAGGGGACGAUCCGUAACUGGUCUGGGAGGAUGAUCAGCCACACUGGAACUGAGACACGGUCCAGACUCCUACGGUAGGCAGCAGUGGGGAAUAUUGGACAAUGGGCGAAAGCCUGAUGCAGCCAUGCCGCGUGUGUGAAGAAGGUCUUCGGAUUGUAAAGCACUUUAAGUUGGGAGGCGUUACCAACAGAAUAAGCACCGGCUAACUUCGUGCCAGCAGCCGCGGUAAUUC